rnacentral:rRNA from 1 species
GACGAACCGAGCGAACGUUGUUCGGAAUCACUGGGCUUAAAGGGCGCGUAGGCGGGCUCGCCAGUCCGUGGUGAAAUCCUCCGGCUCAACCGGAGAACUGCCUCGGAUACUGCGGGCCUCGAGGGUGGUAGGGGUAUGCGGAACUAUCGGUGGAGCGGUGAAAUGCGUUGAUAUCGAUAGGAACUCCGGUGGCGAAGGCGGCAUACUGGACCACUUCUGACGCUGAGGCGCGAAAGCCAGGGGAGCAAACGGG